UACAGAGGGGGCGAGCGUUGUUCGGAAUUACUGGGCGUAAAGGGCGCGUAGGCGGCCUUCUAAGUCGAACGUGAAAUCCCCAGGCUCAACCUGGGAACUGCGUCUGAUACUGGUUGGCUUGAAUCCGGGAGAGGGAUGCAGAAUUCCAGGUGUAGCGGUGAAAUGCGUAGAUAUCUGGAGGAAUACCGGUGGCGAAGGCGGCAUCCUGGACCGGCAUUGACGCUGAGGAGCGAAAGCUAGGGGAGCAAACGGG
rnacentral:rRNA from 1 species